rnacentral:tRNA from 1 species
CUCGUUGUAGUAUAGUGGUGAGUAUUCCCACCUAUCACACGGGUGACCUGGGUUCGAUCCCCGACAACGACG